AUACGAGAAAAACGUCAAGAAGACCAUUGGCGAUAAACGGAAAGCUGCAAAGGUGUCGCAAGAGGUCGCUCAAAAGCUCAGUGAGGCCAUGGCAGGGAAACCCUGAUAAGCA
rnacentral:ribozyme from 14 species